GGGUGCGAUCAUACCAGCACUAAUGCACCGGAUCCCAUAAGAACUCCGCAGUUAAGCGUGCUUGGGCGAGAGUAGUUGGUAGCUUAAUUGUGCCAUGCUAGGUACCAUUGAAAGCGUAUGUG
rnacentral:rRNA from 1 species